rnacentral:tRNA from 4 species
GCCCCGGUAGCUCAGCGGGAGAGCGUCGGCUCGACAAGCCGAAGGCCGCUGGUUCGACACCAGCUCGGGGCA